UUAUUGAAAUGAAAAUUUAGAAGGUUCAUUAUUAGAAUAAAAAUUUGAAAUUUUUGAGAGAGGGAUUCAAUUAAGAGAGAGAAAAGUGUUUAUUAUUGAAUGAAAAUUUAGAAGGACCAUUAUUAGAAUGAAAAUUUAGAAUUUUUGUGAAAGGGUUUCAAUUAGAAAAGUGAUGGAAGAAGAGAAAUUCAGUUUUUUUUUUUUUUUUGAGAGAGAGAAAAGUAGCAUGUUGUCCGUUUCAUUUAUUUUUUUUAUAAAUAAAUUUAGUUGGAAAUAUAAAUCAACUAAGAUUCAAAUUUGGGAUUUCGAGUAUCGACUACCAAGUCGUUUGUCAUUUGUACUAGGGACGGUCGGUGAAGUAGGUGUUGUUGAAAGAGGAUUUAGAAUAAUUUAUUUUGGAAUGCGCAAAUUCAGAAUUCAAAGUUGGAUUGGGCCAUAAAUAGAUUUGAUCAUUUUCAUUCCGAAGUGCGAUGGGAAUCGAAAUCCGAUUCCUAUCAAACAAACAACAGCUAUCGGAAUUAAUAAAUUCUCUUUCGAUUCCAUACUCUAAAAUAGGUGGAUCAAACAUACCUUUAUUGUUUAUUCUACAAUUAAAUUUGUACGAAAAUACUUAAUUUCAACCGUUAGAAUUAUAUCCAAAUUAUACAUAUUUUUUACUACAAUAGCUGAAAUGUAAUAACUCUUUUUGCUGCUAAUAUAUAUUUUUAUAGUUGUUUCUUAUUAGAUUAAUUUUUCAGAUAAUAUGAUAUCAGAGUCGAUUCUAAAUCGCUUC
rnacentral:lncRNA from 1 species